ACCUGGGUGGCUCAGUGGUUGAGCGCCUGCCUUCCGCUCAGGUUGUGAUUCCGGGGUCCUGGGAUCGAGUCCCACAUCGGGUU
rnacentral:tRNA from 1 species